UACGUAGGGUGCAAGCGUUAAUCGGAAUUACUGGGCGUAAAGCGUGCGCAGGCGGUUAUGUAAGACAGAUGUGAAAUGCCCGGGCUUAACCUGGGAACUGCAUUUGUGACUGCAUGGCUAGAGUUUGGCAGAGGGGGGGUAGAAUUCCACGUGUAGCAGUGAAAUGCGUAGAUAUGUGGAGGAACACCGAUGGCGAAGGCAGCCCCCUGGGUCAAGACUGACGCUCAUGCACGAA
rnacentral:rRNA from 1 species